rnacentral:lncRNA from 1 species
AGUAACCUGUUAGCCACAAUUAGUGCUCGCAGCCACAAUUAGGCAGGCAGAUGCGCGAUGCGUCGGCUCGUACGGUCCCUAACUGCCACGUAAACCAACCUCGCCAUCGCACUAAGGAGCGUCGCCAUUCGCUACCAUCUCAGACCACUAAGGUGAUACAUAUGAGAACACAACGUCUUUGCGGUUUUACCACCACCUUCGUAGCGGCAGAUGGCGAACUGCACUAGAGUUCCUCUAAGUACAAGAGUGAGCUCGAACGUGCUCAGGAGAUGCUCACCAUUUCUGGGCGAGCCACCGGGUUGAUCACAACUAUGGCGGCGGAAAUAAAUGGACUAAAGAGAAAUAUGAAGAAAUUAAAAUUGAAAAAAGUUCUGCCCAUAUGGCUUUGAUCUCCCCAGCCGUUCUGUCUGUGCCCACGCCCAUUGGCUCCUCAUCUUAUUCAUCUGAAUAGCGUUCGCAUAGUCGUUGACUGGGGCAGUGGAAGAAAGCUACACCAGCGACAGCAUUUGUAUGGACCGUAACUUUCACAACAUAACGGCUCUUUCUGUGGCUGCUGAUGACCGUCGUCGGUUAAAAACUGAGUAGUGUCUUUUCAAACGGAGUUUUGCACACCAUAACCAUUUGCAGGACACACGACUUGGAGCCAUGCGCCUGCGCGAUUAGCGUGUCCUAUCAUCUGAGUAGUAACUUGACAGUCGCAUGCUCCGCACCUGCGCGAAAACAAAACUUCAACGAUGCGCGCAACUGGCAAAGUCACCAUCAAGACGGUCCAUUUUUUGAGAGAGACGGUAGUUAGGCGACCAAAUGUUAACUAAGUCGAACGAUAAAAAACGCUAGCCCUAGUAUCAGAGGACACAGCAUCGGUCGUCGUUUACGUUGCUGUUUGUGUGCUUUGUCUUCCCACCACUUGCAGCUUAUCGCAUUCUGCAGCAUCCAGAAGUGGGUUGAAUGCGGCCUCGAAGUACUGUUCGUAAUUCAUAGAACUCUGUUGCAGAAAGCGUUACACGCGUGAAGUCUAAGCGGCCGUGGCUAACGUUAGCAGUGAGUUACAAGGCCUACAUAUGGUACAUACGGCAUGAUGAGGGAAGAUCAUGGUUCUCCGCGCGUUUCGCGUUGUCGAGACGUAUAGGGAAGUACUGUCCGCUGUUGCUGUUGCUCAAUAUUUCAAAUGAGCUCUCGUUUUUCUCUCGACUUGCCCUCAACACUGGACGCGGUUGCAGUGCAAUUGCUUCAUCGCUUUGCCCUGUACGUUAGUGCCCAGUAAUUGUAUAAAGGUGCUAUAAUUCGUAUCCUUCUAUGAUUUUCCCAUGCUGUACUGCCUGUUUCAGAAUAUCUUGUUUGCCUAACAUUAUCGGCAAAAUACCUGCGGAACGUUAAGACCUCAAGCAGACUACGAUGCAUGACUCUAUGCUUCCGAAGAACGUGAAACUGACGAUGAUGACGACGAAGCAGCCUCGUCUCAUUUAAUGUCGGCGACACCGACGUAAAACUCGAAACAUACAGGCAGAUCCAUAGAGCAAAUCCACUGGGUGUUUCUGCAAGCCGUAGUAAAGUACUGUACUCUGAAGUACUCUUUAUAUCAGUCCCGAACCGAGGACUAGGCAUACGGGGCCUACACUGUAGUGACUGAUAGUGCCACCGUUGUAGACGAGUACAAUUGCAAUGAAAUCUAAUCCGCAUAAUAUUUCCUUAACUUCACCUGAGCAAAAUACUGAAUGUGAUCAAAGAACUUCGAUCGUCCAAUAUAUCUAAAGAAAUUAUAUACUAAUAUAUAUAUAUGAUAUACUAUACAUCUGUACAGUUGUUAUAUAUGUUACAACCAUGUACGAUGGCGAUAUGAAACAGCAAUAGUUCUUGCAGCUAACGUUUGCAAAAAGAGCAUGCGUCUUUUGUACUAUAUUUACAGUUAAACGAUUGAUCAUGUCGAGUCACAAAGAGGUUAUAUAAGAUCAAGAUCGGCCGAUCAAUCAGUGACCGAUGAAACUUUCUGAUCACACUCCUCUGCCCAGGUAAGCAAAGCAGUUUCGCUAGUUUUGCCCCAGCGUUGGCGUGUUAUGUCUCCAGAUUUUUUGUUUUAGAAAGCGAUAUAGCAACCGCUAUACCAUCCGAUCGGGGAGAGGGAAAAAGAAUUAGCCCGUGAUUUUUCUGCUCAAUCUGGGCCCAGGCCGCUAUCUCUCUAACGGCAGGUAAGAGCCCCUUGUCGUCAAAACUCGGCCCUGUGGUAGCUCUUAGUUGAGUCAUCAGGCCUUGUCUACGAUACGCGUUUACGACAAGUCGCUAUUAGCUUUACUUCUAUUAUUAUCCCGUAGAGACAACGCUCGUUAGGUCAUCUAGCGGGUCCCUUUUAGAAUUUAGAGUUCGCUACGCGUUGCAAGCGGCAGACAGUAGGGCGGGCGGUAGGGGAGAUCUACGGGGUCCUUUAGAUCAACGCUUAUGUAACACAAACAUAUAGACACCUUUCAGAACUACCGUUGUUAUUUUAAACUUUUACUUGCACAUACCGACGCUUACGUUUAGUGUCGUUAUUUUUUGUUGAUUCGUCUGGUGUGAAAUUUAUGUGGACUAGUUUCAACCUUAAUGAAUGCUGGGUAAACAUUCUAGCGUUAGAAGAGUAACAGGUCGCAGCACUAAAAAUGUGAAUUUUUAUAGAAGAAACAUCGUUCCUGUUAUAUGCCAGAGUCAGUUUUGCGGACGCAAGUAGUGACCACAUUCAUUCAGGUAAUGCUUGCCGUUGAUGCCGUUACUGCAGGUUGCACUACGGGGCUCGUAGCCAUCGCGACGAUGAUUUGAUCUACACUGUCACAUAAUGAGUAGUGAACAGGUUAUCCGAAAAAGAUUGACCACUCGGUCCUUUGACACUCCAGCUGUCGUCGUUGUCGGCUGUCGCUGAUUAGGAUUAGCGCACUCGUUUCGAGUCUCGAAGGGAAGGGUCAAAACCAGAACAAGAAACACAAGCUACCAGAACGAUGGAUCACUAGCAACACCCAGUAUUUAACCUACUAUGUCGCCGUUAAUCAAACGGUGGUUACUGAAUGCCGCUCAGCGUAUUACGUCAGCAAACGUUUCCCCGCACAAGAAUGUCUGACCAACUCGAAUCGCGCCUCCUGUCACCGAAUAUUUAGCCGUAACGAUCGAGAAUUCGUCAUUAAAGGAAACGCGUUAGUUACACUAAAGUUAUAGCAUGAUAGUGUUUUACGUAACGGGCAGCAAAGAAAAACGCCAAAAUGCAGCCUAACAGGAAAGGAUUAGGAUUGUCAACUAGCUGAUAUGUCUUGGAUAAAACGCACAAACUAUGAAAUCUUAUAAACAUUUUCCAGCUUUCUUUGAAACCUCCGCAAAAUCAUUUUUAAAUGUGUCACUGGCAUGCAUAAAAGUUCUUAAUAGGUAAAAAGUGUUAAGCAUUAUAAGUAUAUUCCGGUAUAUCUGGGAAGUCGGGAUGCAGCUUUGACAGUCUAUCAAAUGCAAUUAAAGAAGUACAAUAAAAAGAAUUAAAUUGAGUCAAGCCUUCCUGAUUUUAUUACAGUUAAUCAACGUAUUCAGAAAUUAGCGAAACAAAGCUCCUAUUUGGGUAGCUUUUUUAUUCUAUUUACACUUGAUGUCAAGGAUGGUUUUCUGCGGUAUUAUUUAAAAUAUGGAUAUAAAUGGCAUGCGAGUAUUGCGAGAAACUAUAUGUCCUUCGUAACAGUACAUAUACAAAACAACUUUAGAGCAGCAAUCCGCAAUCGACAAAACUAGAAAAGAGCGGUGGGAACACAGUGACAUGCUAACCUCGCUACUAAAUUGUGUAGACUAGUAGAAUUAAGCCAAAAUAUUAUUUUCACUUAGACACAAGUACACACAUUAGUAAAAUUCUAACAAUAUCAAGACCAAAUUAGUUUUUUUCUAUAUACUGCGUUACAAAAUAUUAUAUAACCUAGAGAGGUUUCAUGUUCAGCUAUGGAGUCUUCGGCACCUUUAUAGAAAAAAGCCCAUUCGUUGGAACCAAAAACAAGUUUCUGUAUAGAAUCGACGUACUAUGCGGCUACUGUGCUCAACAUAUAAUCUGGUAUGCUUAGCCUCAGUAACCAACUCCAUGUCGCUUUAAAUAUUGCUGUGUUUCAUGGGCACGUUAAUAUAGACAUGAUGAAAUCGUUUUGAAGCGAUUAGUGGCAUCCUUGUUUCCUUGAGGAUUAGUAACAAUGCUACGGUAAAAUAUCUAUUUAGUUUACGAUUUUAGUAUUUUUUUUGGUUACCUUUAAAUGUGUAUUUGUAUUGUGUAGAUAAAUAGAAGAAAGCCAAAUUACUGGGUACUCGGGUGUUAAGGAUUAUAAUAUACGGUACUGGAGAUAAUGCUAAAAGUUCCACUAAAGGUUCCGCUUUCUAACGAUAAUGUUAAAAGAAGUCUGUUAAAAUAAUCUAUGCCAGGUCUAAGCACAGGGAGGGCUCUCACCAUGCGAAUUAUCUAUGACGUACACAUUUUCUGAAUUAUUAUAUUAUAGGUAAGUUAUUGUCAUGAAGAAAUAGAACAUCGGAACGAUAU